CCUACGGGCGGCAGCAGUAGGGAAUCUUCCACAAUGGGCGAAAGCCUGAUGGAGCAACGCCGCGUGGGUGAAGAAGGUCUUCGGAUCGUAAAACCCUGUUGUUAGAGAAGAAAGUGCGGGAGAGUAACUGUUCACGUUUCGACGGUAUCUAACAAGAAAGCCACGGCUAACUACGUGCCAGCAGCCGCGGGAAUGCGUAGGUGGCAAGCGUUAACCGGAUUUAUUGGGCGUAAAGGGAACGCAGGCGGUCUUUUAAGUCUGAUGUGAAAGCCUUCGGCUUAACCGGAGUAGUGCCGUGGAAACUGGGAGACUUGAGUACAGAAGAGGAGAGUGGAACUCGAGGUGUAGCGGUGAAAUGCGUAGAUAUAUGGAAGAACACCGAUGGCGAAAGCGGCUCUCUGGUCUGUAACUGACGCUGAGGUUCGAAAGCGUGGGUAGCAAACAGGAUUAGAUACCCUUGUAGUC
rnacentral:rRNA from 1 species